GUUGAUUUCCUACUAAGUCAAGGUUCCUUUGUAACUUGGUAUAGUUGGUUUGGAGUGGGAAGCAUUAGAAUCACCAAAGUGAUUACAUCUCCAAGUGAAGAAGACUUGAGGAAAAGUUUUUCGACGAAACGGGAAGUGAGUUUGGAAAGGCGUAAAGAGCUUGAAAGGUACAGACGACAGGUUCGCUGAUCCACACGUUUAGGAUCCCAUUUCUGCUAUUUUGGGGCGCUCUCUUCUUCAGAGCCCAUCUUUUGGUAUAGUCUGUCACUGCUAUCUGGAUAUGUACAUUGUUUUGGGUAUGACGGGGCCCUGUCCCGUCUUAUGAUUAUGUUAUGUUCUGUAGAGGUCUGUGGAUAUAUCUGUGUGGGUUCUGUACAUAUGUUUGGGAUACUUUGUUCUAUGAUGGCCUUAUCGGCCUAUGUGUGCCAAGUCUGCUUUUUAUGCUAAA